rnacentral:rRNA from 1 species
UCUUGGUCAUUUAGAGGAAGUAAAAGUCGUAACAAGGUUUCCGUAGGUGAACCUGCGGAGGAUCAUUAUUGUAUAACAGAGGCACCAGGGUUGUCGCUAACCUUUAAGGUUGUGCACGCCCUAGUGUUCUCAUAUAUCCAUCUCACCCCUUUGUGCAUCACCGCGUGGGCCCUCAUUUGGUUUGUUCCAAGAGGGUUUGCGUUUUUACAAUUAAACACCUUUAUAAUGCAUGUGUAGAAUGUCUUUACUAUUUGCGAUAAUAUGCAAUUAAUACAACUUUCAACAACGGAUCUCUUGGCUCUCGCAUCGAUGAAGAACGCAGCGAAAUGCGAUACGUAAUGUGAAUUGCAGAAUUCAGUGAAUCAUCGAAUCUUUGAACGCAUCUUGCGCCCCUUGGUAUUCCGAGGGGCACACCCGUUUGAGUGUCGUGACAUUCUCAAACCUUCUUGGUUUAUUAUUAACUGGGAAGGCUUUGGACAAUGGGGGUCUUAUUGCUGGCAUUCUUUGGAAGUCCAGCUCCUCCUAAAUGAAUUAGUAGGGUCUGCUUUGUCGAUCCUUGACGUGAUAAGAUAUUUUCUACGUCACGGAGUUUGGCACAAGUGACUUUGGGUCCUGCUUCUAACUGUCUUGUAGAAGACAAUGUUAUAAAACCCUUGACCUCAAAUCGGGUGAGACUACCCGCUGAACUUAAGCAUAUCAAUA